UACGUAGGUGGCGAGCGUUGUCCGGAUUUACUGGGCGUAAAGGGAGCGUAGGCGGACUUUUAAGUGAGAUGAGAAAUACUCGGGCUCAACUUGAGUGCUGCAUUUCAAACUGGAAGUCUAGAGUGCAGGAGAGGAGAAUGGAAUUCCUAGUGUAGCGGUGAAAUGCGUAGAGAUUAGGAAGAACACCAGUGGCGAAGGCGAUUCUCUGGACUGUAACUGACGCUGAGGCUCGAAAGCGUGGGGAGCAAACAGG
rnacentral:rRNA from 1 species